GUAACUACCCUUGCUCCGUGCCAGCAGAAGAAAGUUCACUCUGUCAGCAGUUAAACUAGAAGGAAUCUGUACUCUGGGAUAUCAGUCACAGAUGACAAAAGAGGACACUACUGAAAAGAGGCACUCUACCAAAAUGAGAUAAUGAGUUAAAAGAAUGACAUAUAUUUUAAGAAAAAGAGGGUUAGCGCUGUAGCUAAGAAAGAAUCUCCCAAAAAAGUGAAAGCUGAAGAGCCCAAGAUGACAACUUUGCACUGAGUUUGGAGAACCAGCAGCUCAAAUUUGAGCAGAAGGAUUGAGGACACCAGGAGGAAUAUUUUCCAGAAGGUCGACAGAGCAGUAGACAAUUUUGCAGUUAAUAUAUGUGGUUGCUGAUAUGCUAGCCCACACUGCUGGCGAGGGGCAGCCCCUGGACCUGAAGCUCCUACAGCUCCUGUGAAUCUCUUCCUUCAGUUUUGUAAGAUCCUGAGCUAGAUUCCUGUAUAAUUCCAUGAUGGAGUGCCCCAGCUUUUCUGCAGUUCACCUACAUCAUCCAAGUUGAAGACCUGGAGGCGACUAGAGACCAAUGUGUGUUCCAGAGAAGGACAGGUGUGGAUUUCAGUUCAUUCUCCUGGGUUCUAUUUUGUCUUUGCUUUCUCUUAAACCAUGUCCAUCUUUUCUUAACAACUGCUAGCCCUUCUGUCCUCAGGCCUUGCGCCAGAUUCAGAUGCAACAGACUGACACCGGCUGCUUACUCAGCUGCCACCAUCACAAAAGGUCUAAUCCAUCCCUCCAAUCUAUUGGGUCACUCGUAGUAGUUUUGCAUCUCUGAGUGAUGCAAAGCACUAACAAAUACAACUACCAAUGUGUUACGCUUGCUUGAUAUUCCUGUUAAUCGAUAUUAAAUAUUUAAAUACUAUUAAAUGUCGAAUAUA